rnacentral:rRNA from 1 species
AGCGAACGUUAGCGGCGCGCCUAACACAUGCAAGUCGCACGAGAAAGGGAGCAAUCCCCGGUACAGUGGCGCACGGGUGAGUAACACGUAGAUGACCUUCCCUGGAGUGGUGGAUAACCUGCCGAAAGGCGGGCUAAUACAGCAUGGGACCACAUGGUUUUGACCGAGUGGUGAAAGCGGGCCUCUGUUCACAAGCUCGCGCUCUGGGAUGGGUCUGCGUCCCAUCAGCUAGUUGGUGAGGUAAUGGCUCACCAAGGCAUCGACGGGUAGCUGGUCUGAGAGGAUGACCAGCCACACUGGAACUGAGACACGGUCCAGACUCCUACGGGAGGCAGCAGUGGGGAAUCUUGCGCAAUGGGCGAAAGCCUGACGCAGCGACGCCGCGUGGGCGAUGAAGGCC